GCAAACAUGACUUCUGCAGAGGGGCAUGCUACUGAACAAAGUCUGGCAAAUAAUUAAAGUGACAGAAAAAACUUCUAUAAGAGAAAAGGCAGCAAAGUGAGAAAGAACAGGCAACACACACGUGCAGAUUUACUUCCCUGUGCUAGACAGAGCCCAAGUCAGUGACACUCGGCACAUGGAGGAGGAGCAGCCCUCUCAGCCCCAAGGAAGUUCAGAGGCAGAGCAACCUGGAAGAUGCAGGGGUCACCUCAAUUUCAGCCUGUUUCAGGAACUGGAAAGUUACAGGUUUGCUGCCAGCCUUAGGGAGGGGCCAGGCACUGAAUGGAAAGUGGACUGGAGACCCAUCUUCCUGCAGAGUGUGAACAGCAAGACUACCCUUCUGCCCAUCCUAGGCCAUGUUCCCUGUCCUUGAGCACACACACCAGACAUCCUCAGGGAUGGUGCCAGAAGAACUGAGAAACAGCCAUCUACCAAGUCUACGAGUGAAUUAUGGCCCCCAACAGGGCACAACUGGAAUGUGUGUGUGUCUUCCUGAACCACCUCUUUAAAAGUCCGCCAUCCCCCCAGCGGGCAGAAUCACAGCCUCUGGAACUAUAGUCC